CAUCCUGGGGCUGUAGUCGGUCCCAAGGGUUGGGCUGUUCGCCCAUUAAAGCGGUACGCGAGCUGGGUUCAGAACGUCGUGAGACAGUUCGGUCCCUAUCCGUCGUGGGCGUAGGAAAUUUGAGAGGCGCUGUCCUUAGUACGAGAGGACCGGGAUGGACAUACCUCUGGUGUACCAGUUGUCGUGCCAACGGCAUAGCUGGGUAGCUA
rnacentral:rRNA from 1 species